CACAAGUCCGUGCAAGGAGGCGGCGGUGGUGAGCUGAACGACAACCUACUUUGCAUAAAAUUGUGGGGGGUCCACAAUUUUCACAUGUGAUUCUUCGAGGUACCAACAUUUUUCCUUUAAGAACCCAGAGAAUAAUUCUCAGGGACCUUUUUUAGGGGUCCCAGGACUGUCUACAAGCGACCCCGGCGGGGAGGCAGGAACCAUCACAGAGGGCGUAAAGACAAGAUAUCAAAACAAAAUGAAAUCCAUUCCCAAGACACAGCCGACCAGUCGCAAUCAGAGGAAAUAAUCAAGACAACACACAAUGUGAUGGACUGAAAGAUUUGUAUGGCCACCAGCAGAGCUACUGGAAGAUUUAGCACGUCUUCUGAAGCAUUUUCACAAGUAUUAUAAUAUAAAUGGGCCUUCAUUUUAUUUCAUU